AUGCUUAUUGAUGUUGCUAUUGAGCAAGUGCAGGGGCUAAUUACCUUUUUUAAUGGGUAUAGAGACACUGGUUUUUGUAAUGCAUUGGAAACAGCAAAAGAAAUUGCAUUUGAAAUGGAGAUCGAUCCUACAUUUCGUCAAAAGCGUGAGAUUAAAAGAAAGAAACAAUUUGACGAAAACCCAGAUGAUGUGUUAAUUUCUUCACAACCUGCACAUGAAUCAUUUAGGAGAAAAUAUUUUAUUCCUGUUGUUGAUCAGGCUAUCAGUUCACUUGCAACAAGAUUUGAGCAAUAUGAAUCAUUCCAAAAGAACUUUGGUUUUUAUUUACUUCUGAUGCACUAA
rnacentral:rRNA from 1 species